UGUGCAGGGUACAACCUGCACAACUGGACAUGGGAAGCUUCCAGGAUACAACUCGAGGCUUUUCUUUAUGUCCAAACUCCUUUCUAGUUAAGGUGCCCUUGGGAGCAGUAUGGAACCUAUUCUUCUUUGUGGGAGAGGUGGAAAAAAUUGUGACUUCAUGUAGUUGUGAGGAAGUAUGGUCUGAAGAAGGUCUGAAGAAGAAUCUAGGAAGAAACCCUGAAAGAGAUGCCAUCAAUCCAAAUACCAAAAACAGAUGGACACAUUUUAAUUUUUUCUAAUUAGUAAGGAGAAUGGAAAA
rnacentral:lncRNA from 1 species